rnacentral:rRNA from 1 species
UANANAUGCAGUCGACGAUGAUCNNGNUGCUUGCNNNGGGGAUUAGUGGCGAACGGGUGAGUAACACGUGAGUAACCUGCCCUUGACUCUGGGAUAAGCCUGGGAAACUGGGUCUAAUACUGGAUACGACCUUCCCACGCAUGUGGUGUUGGUGGAAAGCUUUUGUGGUUUUGGAUGGACUCGCGGCCUAUCAGCUUGUUGGUGGGGUAAUGGCCUACCAAGGCGACGACGGGUAGCCGGCCUGAGAGGGUGNACGGCCACACUGGGACUGAGACACGGCCCAGACUCCUACGGGAGGCAGCAGUGGGGAAUAUUGCACAAUGGGCGCAAGCCUGAUGCAGCGACGCCGCGUGAGGGAUGAAGGCCUUCGGGUUGUAAACCUCUUUCAGUAGGGAAGAAGCGAAAGUGACGGUACCUGCAGAAGAAGCGCCGGCUAACUACGUGCCAGCAGCCGCGGUAAUACGUAGGGCGCAAGCGUUAUCCGGAAUUAUUGGGCGUAAAGAGCUCGUAGGCGGUUUGUCGCGUCUGCCGUGAAAGUCCGGGGCUUAACUCCGGAUCUGCGGUGGGUACGGGCAGACUUGAGUGAUGUAGGGGAGACUGGAAUUCCUGGUGUAGCGGUGA